rnacentral:RNase_P_RNA from 1 species
AGGCCGCAGCCGGCGGCUCACGGGCCUCUGAGGCCUGAGGACACACCACCCUCACCGCGGCAGCCGGGCCCCGCAAGGGGCGCGGGUGAUACCCGCGGCAACAGCACAGAAACGACACGGCCCCCGGCGGUGUCGGUGAAGCCUUGGGGCUCCCCUGGUGACAGGGGUGCAGUAACGGGUGGAGGAAGCUGGGGGAUGCGUUGAAACGGCUGACCCCGGUUGAGCAAGGCCCGGGGGCUGUGAGGGCCGCGCUAGCCCCUGGGGGGUGCCGCUGAGUCUAAUGCCGCCGGGUACUGAAGGUGGGUUAUGGCUGUGGCCU